rnacentral:lncRNA from 1 species
GGAAAAUGAUUUGCCAGCCAUGGCUGAUUGGUACCAAGGCUGCAGCUGAAACCUGAACCUCCAGAAUUCCCACUCUGUGCUUUGGGCUCCCUUACGAAGAUAGACGCCACAGUCUGAAUUUGUGCUAUGGAUAAACAGGAUGGCUCCAGUGAAUUUAUCUUAACUGCUCUGUGGUAUUGCACCAUAGGAAUGUUUUAGCAUUUAUCUAAUCUAUUGAUGGCCAUCUGGUGAGUUUCCAGGGUUUUUGUUUUGUUUUGUU